ensembl:lincRNA
GGAAAAAAAUUUAAAAAAAAACAAAACAAUUUCACAGAGGGUGAUGUUUACAUUAAAAAAAUCACAGUCAUAAAACGAGGAUUGUGAAAUAUUGUUAAAACUGUGGCUUUGUCACAGACUGCAAUUGCAAAUUGUCUGGAAUAGUUAAAUGGUGAGCUAUUCUUAAUACCUUUGGCAAAAACUCUACUUGCAGUAUGAUGACCGGAGACACAGCUGUUGGAGGAAAAAAGUUUAUGUCAAUUAAAAUCCUGAAUUUCUCUGAUCUGGAAAGAAAAACUGCUAUGAACUCUUUAGAUGCCAACACAAGUGCUGAAGAGGAUGCUACAUGAGAGAAAGAUGGAUUCGUAUGUGGAAAAGCCUUCUAAGGAUAAAGUCUACCAUAUACUGACUUACUUUCGGAGGUAACAAGGGUUGGUGAGAUCUCAGUAGCGUCCUUCUCAUGAGGAGGUCAGUCUCUUAAACUUCAAGUGGAAAACAGAUGAGAUGAGGUGACUGUGCUGAAUUUGAAAUAUGUGCCCUAAUCCCAAUGUUAUUUUGUUGUUGCUGUUAUGUUUGUUUCAAAAAUAAUUACAAGGUAAUUGCCCUCUGAUUUCUGUUACCCACAGAACCUCAUCUCUCACCUUACCCCCAGCUUUAAUGAGGCUUCUUGUUGGUCAAUUCCAAUAAGAACUCUCUAAGUCACCUGGGCUGCUCUGAGAUCCACCUUACAGUGACUCAGGAAUACAGUCAAUACAAUGGUAGAAAGUGGCCCUGGCAAGGAAAGACUUUAAAACACAUAGAACAAAUCAGCCCAGAGGCUCUGCCGGCACUGCUACCCUCAACAAGUGGCAAUGUGGUGACCUUUAGUAAUCCCAUGCUUGGUUCCAACUUCUUUCCCUUUAUAAGGGAUUAAUCAAGACAUGGCUUCCAGCACUUUCAUUGGUAUUAAUAUGUGAAGUUGGGAAGUCAGGUUGGGGGACCUUACUGCCAUUAGAAAUGGGCUCCAGCCUUCUAGGAAUGCCUCUGUCUUUCGCCUACCUAAAGGAUCAGCAUUGGAGGAAACUUUCUUAAUUUGUAAUCACUCCCAGUGUAUUUGAACUCCCUGGGUGUAAACCCUAGCUUUACCAUUUGCUUGACUGUGGCAAAGUUAAUUAACCUCUUUGAACUUCAUUUUCUUAAACAUGAGCUAUAUGGAGUCAUUAGAGUUCACUGAGUUUACCCAUGUAAGAUUCUGAACAUUAGUGCCUGGUACAUAAAUGCUCAGUUAAGUUGGCUAUCAAUAUUGAUAUCAUGGCUACUAAAAUCUUAUAAAGCCCUUUACGCUUUUCUAAUCCAUGUGUUCACUGCUAAUAACCUCAUCCUGAACAAGUGCAAAUCUAAAUUGAUGGUGAUACUCUUUCCACCCAUUCCCAAUUCUAACUUCUGACUUCUGCUACCCUGACUACUCUUCCCACAACAUUUUCACCUCUCUCCUUAUAUCUGUUACAUAACACUCAGCUCCAACUUCACAAUCUGAACAUAAGUUGGUCUUGUGGGUCAGCUCAUCCUCAGCCACCUUGGAUAAUAUCUCUCCUUUAUGCUACCCAGGGUUUCUUAGCUUUUCCAUUCCAGGAGCUCCUUUGACACUGUGGCAAAGCCUAUGAAGCCAUUCUGAGAAUAUUUUAAAUGUGUAAAACAAAACCAGGAAUUUUAAAGGAAAAAAUUCUAUUGGAUUACUCUUAUGUAUAUUAAAAUAAAGGUAUGAC